CCCUUAGAUGUUCUGGGCUGCACGCGCGCUACACUGAAGCUAUCAACACGUUUUCCCUCCCAGAGAAGGGCGGGUAACCUUUUGAAUCAGCUUCGUGGUAGGGAUCGGGGCUUGCAAUUGUUCCCCGUGAACCAGGAAUUCCUAGUAGACGCGAGUCAUAAGCUCGCAUCGAUUAAGUCCCUGCCCUUUGUACACACCGCCCGUCGCUACUACCGAUUGAACGUUUUAGUGAGGCAUUUGGACCGACGCAUCUCAGUUUAACCGCUGGUUUGUGUUGGAAAGACUUCCAAACUUGAGCGUUUAGAGGAAGUAAAAGUCGUAACA
rnacentral:rRNA from 1 species